CAGCAGCCGCGGUAAUACGAAGGGGGCUAGCGUUGCUCGGAAUUACUGGGCGUAAAGGGAGCGUAGGCGGAUCGUUUAGUCAGGGGUGAAAUCCCGGGGCUCAACCUCGGAACUGCCUUUGAUACUGGCGAUCUUGAGUAUGGGAGAGGUGUGUGGAACUCCGAGUGUAGAGGUGAAAUUCGUAGAUAUUCGGAAGAACACCAGUGGCGAAGGCGACACACUGGCCCACUACUGACGCUGAGGCUCGAAAGCGUGGGGAGCAAACAGGAUUAGAUACCCCCGUAGUCCCUGUCUCUUAUAC
rnacentral:rRNA from 1 species